rnacentral:rRNA from 1 species
GGGAAAGAAUGCCCCGGUGGCGAACCAGGGAGAGACGGUACCCAAGAAGGAAGCCCCGGCUAACUCCGUGCCAGCAGCCGCGGUAAUACGGAGGGGGCAAGCGUUGUUCGGAUUUACUGGGCGUAAAGGGUGUGUAGGCGGUCGCGUAAGUCUGGUGUGAAAUCUUCACCGCUCACCGGGAAGGGGUCACUGGAUACUGCGCGACUCGAGUAUGGUAGAGGCAAGCGGAAUUCCUGGUGUAGCGGUGGAAUGUGUAGAUAUCAGGAAGAACACCGGUGGCGAAGGCGGCUUGCUGGGCCAUCACUGACGCUGAGACACGAAAGCGUGGGGAGCAAACGGGAUUAGAUACCCCGGUAGUCCACGCUGUAAACGGUGCGCACUAGGUGUGAGGGGUAUCGACCCCCCUCGUGCCGCAGUUAACACAUUAAGUGCGCCGCCUGGGGAGCGCGGCCGCAAGGUUG